UACGUAGGGGGCAAGCGUUGUCCGGAUUUACUGGGCGUAAAGGGUGUGUAGGCGGUUGUUUAAGUUUGGUGUGAAAUCUCCCGGCUCAACUGGGAGGGUGCGCCGAAUACUGAAUGACUAGAGUGCGGGAGAGGAAAGUGGAAUUCCUGGUGUAGCGGUGAAAUGCGUAGAUAUCAGGAGGAACACCGGUGGUGUAGACGGCUUUCUGGACCGUAACUGACGCUGAGACACGAAAGCGUGGGUAGCAAACAGG
rnacentral:rRNA from 1 species